UCCGCAUCCACGUCCGCGAGCCGCGCGGGUA
rnacentral:sRNA from 1 species